rnacentral:misc_RNA from 1 species
CCUCAAGUGCAGCGUGCAGGACAAUACAGUGCACGUGUCCCUCUGGAUAAUGUAGAGCUACAGUUAUUCGGACCAAUCUAUUACAUUUACAGAAUUAAACUUUUUAAAUAUAGAUGAAACAGAAAACAACACUCAAACAACUGGUUGGAGCAAACAAUGUUGAACAGGAAGAAUUAUGUCAUCUAUCUCAGCGUCAGAAAGUUGAAGCCUUAAGGAGUGUCAUUUGUUUUCUCGUUUAUAAUGCUAUCAUCAAACAUAUCUGGACUGAGUCACAUUUGGAAUAAGAAUCCACCUUAUUAUAGGAUGAAUCUGUCUACUUGCUCAUUCUAAUUUCCCUCUGGGUUUUGGUAGGCAAACAUUUGGCUGCAGGAUUAGGCCAAAAAGACCUAAAAUGUGAAAAUUUGUAAGACAAGCUGUUUAGCUUUCAUUCAUCAACUUGUCAUCUGGCACGAACUGAAUGACUGAAUUAUUUUAUGACUAUUUUUUAUUUUUUCCACAUUUUUAUGUUUGUAAUUGUUUAUUAUUGUUAUAUUAUUAUACUAGAUUUUUA